UCGCCCCAAUCAACAUAAUUCACCACAUGGAGAUACGAUGGAACAACGACCCAAAUGGGUGGCCCUGGCUACUUGUUGUUCCUUUGAAGCUUUAGAAAACAUCACGCAAGCAUACCACGGCAACCAUAACGCAGGACAACUUAAUUUUGCAAAGACAUACUUCCGCUUACGAUGCUUCUGGAACGAUGUGCCACCCUCAGAGUUUAUCUGCGGCGCGGGGUAUGCUGUACAUCUUGCACGCUUUCAAGCUCUACGAUAGCAGCAGAAACAACAACUCCGUCACAGACAGACUCGUGCGGAAGAAUCUUACGACGCUGGGGACGAAGAUCUUCUAGCAACCCCACUUCGUAAGGUCGGCACACGUGAAAAACUGCUUUGAAACUACGUUUCCCCUUUCGUCUUCUCCGCCAUCAUUUUUCUACAAGCUACGAGGUGCAACCAGUCGCACUUUGUCAAGGUCGCCACGCGAGUGUCACUUGACGUUGUCCAUGUCUCACGUAACAAACCUUUUAACGGACCUCACGAGUGAACAUGUGAUGGCAGGUGGAUCGGCCCUUUACCCUCCCCGGGAAAGUGUAGGGAGAAGACAGCGAAGCUGAGGCCAUAGGGCAAACUGAGCGAGCCUUCAGCUGGUGGAAUAUGAUCUCGCAGCUCUAACCCCUCAUUAGUUCUCAUUAUACUAUACUUUUAACACUCUGAAAAUAUUUCGAUAAAAGCGACGUAGUGUAUUCACAGAGCUGUAAAACACCUCCAGGCAAUUCACUAUAGUAAGUAUAUCCGAAAUGUAACUUGCGAAACCUAUAGUUUUCUUUACGGUGCACUUUAGUCCGGAGAUGAUUACGUAUACGGGUAAGAAAUGCGUACUCGGCAACGUUGAAAGGAGUCGCCGACUUUGGAAAGACGUGUUCUCACUUCAAACAAUGGAUUGGAACAGGGACUUUGUUUCUUGGUUAUGCGGCGCCGUCCUAAGACGUCUUAGACAAUACAAAAAUGCAGCUUUUGAAGAUAUUUCAGUUGUUUCUUCAAGCAGCUGGCGCUGAGUACACAUGCCUUUUCAAGCUUCGUGGCGUAACUGCAGCAAACGCUAGAUUGCGACAUGGAUCUGGAGUCAUGCCGUUUCACUGGUCUCGAAAGAAAAGCUGAUAACAAUAGAUUCUAUUGCUUCUUAUGUUUUCUUAUUUUCUUG